GACGAACGCUGGCGGCGUGCUUAACACAUGCAAGUCGAACGGAAAGGCCCUGCUUUUGUGGGGUGCUCGAGUGGCGAACGGGUGAGUAACACGUGAGUAACCUGCCCUUGACUUUGGGAUAACUUCAGGAAGCUGGGGCUAAUACCGGAUAGGAGCUCCUGCUGCAUGGUGGGGGUUGGAAAGUUUCGGCGGUUGGGGAUGGACUCGCGGCUUAUCAGCUUGUUGGUGGGGUAGUGGCUUACCAAGGCUUUGACGGGUAGCCGGCCUGAGAGGGUGACCGGACACAUGGGGGAUGAGUGGAGGCGCAGAGGCCGACGGGAGGCAGGAGGGGGGAUGAUGGGGGAAUGGGCGGGAGAGUGAAGCCGCUGCGCCGCGUGCGGGAUGACGGGCGUCGGGUUGUAAACCGCUUUCGGCUGUGACGAAGCGGGAGUGGCGGUAAUGGGGAAAGAAGCACCGGCUGGAUACGUG
rnacentral:rRNA from 1 species